rnacentral:ncRNA from 2 species
AAUACCGUGCAAUGCGAAAUUCGUAUAUCCUCAAUAACAUGGUUUGAGGGUCUCUACAAGGAGCCAAAGAAUCCUAACUACGAAUAUAGGAUAAGUGUAG